CCCCCCAUUUAAGGCACGGAACCUUUCCGCUACUAGCCGAUGUGGGACUAAAUUCAAGGCCCCCUCCCCUCCCCACAACAUAGCCCCCCCAGCGGGAAGGUUCCGGGCAGGUUUUUGCCCACCGGGCCCCCACAGUCCUGAAGGGUAGUCAAUGGAGGGAGGAGGCGCCCCUACCUGGCGCGCCAUCUAUUGCGGGGACGGCCUUCGGCCAGAGCCUCGCGCAACAGCAUAGCNNNNNNNNNN
rnacentral:lncRNA from 1 species